rnacentral:rRNA from 1 species
CAGCAGCCGGCGGUAAUACGUAGGUGGCAAGCGUUGUCCGGAAUUAUUGGGCGUAAAGCGCGCGCAGGCGGAUCAGUUAGUCUGUCUUAAAAGUUUGGGGCUUAACCCCGUGAGGGGAUGGAAACUGCUGAUCUAGAGUAUCGGAGAGGAAAGUGGAAUUCCUAGUGUAGCGGUGAAAUGCGUAGAUAUUAGGAAGAACACCAGUGGCGAAGGCGACUUUCUGGACGAAAACUGACGCUGAGGCGCGAAAGCCAGGGGAGCGAACGGAAUUAGAUACCCCAGUAGUCCCUGUCUCUUAUAC